CAGUCGAACGGAACUGUUUUGAAAGAUUUCUUCGGAAUGAAUUUGAUUUAGUUCAGUGGCGGACGGGUGAGUAACGCGUGAGUAACCUGCCUUCAAGAGGGGGAUAACAUUCUGAAAAGAAUGCUAAUACCGCAUGAUAUAUCGGAACCACAUGGUUUUGAUAUCAAAGAUUUUAUCGCUUGAAGAUGGACUCGCGUCCGAUUAGUUAGUUGGUGAGGUAACGGCUCACCAAGACCGCGAUCGGUAGCCGGACUGAGAGGUUGAACGGCCACAUUGGGACUGAGACACGGCCCAAACUCCUACGGGAGGCAGCAGUGGGGAAUAUUGCACAAUGGGGGAAACCCUGAUGCAGCGACGCCGCGUGAAGGAAGAAGUAUCUCGGUAUGUAAACUUCUAUCAGCAGGGAAGAUAAUGACGGUACCUGACUAAGAAGCCCCGGCUAACUACGUGCCAGCAGCCGCGGUAAUACGUAGGGGGCAAGCGUUAUCCGGAUUUACUGGGUGUAAAGGGGGCGUAGGCGGCGGAGCAAGUCAGAAGUGAAAGCCCGGGGCUCAACCCCGGGACGGCUUUUGAAACUGCCCUGCUUGAUUUCAGGAGAGGUAAGCGGAAUUCCUAGUGUAGCGGUGAAAUGCGUAGAUAUUAGGAGGAACACCAGUGGCGAAGGCGGCUUACUGGACUGACAAUGACGCUGAGGCUCGAAAGCGUGGGGAGCAAACAGGAUUA
rnacentral:rRNA from 1 species